AUUGAACGCUGGCGGCAGGCCUAACACAUGCAAGUCGAACGAGUGGCGGACGGGUGAGUAAUGUCUGGGAAACUGCCUGCUGGAGGGGGACAACUACUGGCAACGGUAGCUAAUACCUCAUACCAUCGGAUGCGCCCAGAUGGGAUUAGCUAGUAGGUGGGGUAAAGGAUCACCUAGGCGACGAUGCCCAGCUGGUCUGAGAGGAUGACGAGCAACACUGGAACGGAGACAAGGUGCAGAAUCCGAAGGGAGGCAGCAGUGGGAAAUAUUGGGGAAUGGGCAGAAAGGAGAAUCAGCCAAGGGGCGUGUACGAAAAGGGGCUUCGGGUUGUAAAGUACGAUAAGUGGGGGAGCGGUACCCGAAGAAGAAGCACCGGCUAACUCCGUGCCAGCCGCCGCGGUAAUUC
rnacentral:rRNA from 1 species